AUUCUUUACUCACCUUAAAGAUGGUGCCUGCCCAGUGAUUUAUAAUUAGAAAAUAAACCUUAAAAUUAAAUUCAACGGCCGCUGUAUUACUGACGGUGAUAAUGUAGGAAAAUAAAUAGUUGUUUAAUUGACGAACGUAGGUGAAUGGCUUUACGAGGUUUCCACUGUCUUAAAUAUAAACACCAAAAAAUUUAAAUAAUAGUGAAGAUGCUAUUUAAAACUGUAAGACGAGAAGACCCUAUAAAGCUUAACUAUAAUCUCAAACCGUAAUUUAGUACAUCUAUUGUAUUUAUUUCUUCUUUGAGAUUGGUAGUUUGGUUGGGGCAACAGCAUUUUAAAACAAAAGAAUGUAAUAAUUAUAUAAUAUAUAAUAAUAUCAUAUUAUUGUUUAAUUUAUAAAUUUAACAAUCACAAAGUGGGUAUAAUGACCUGUCUUUUUUUUAAUUUAAUUAAUGACAAUAAAUAAAUAAAAGCUACUUUAGGGAUAACAGGUUAAUUUUAUCUUAAAGAUGCUAUUGAAGAUAAAGUUUGACACCUCGAUGUUGAAUUAAGUUAUCCUAGUAAUGCAGCAGUUACUAAAGGUUGGUCUGUUCGACCAUUAAAAAUCUUA
rnacentral:rRNA from 1 species